UACGUAGGGUGCAGGCGUUAAUCGGAAUUACUGGGCGUAAAGCGUGCGCAGGCGGUGAUGUAAGACAGUUGUGAAAUCCCCGGGCUCAACCCCGGAACUGCAUUCGAUACUGCUGCGCUAGAGUACUGGAGAGGAGAUUGGAAUUUACGGUGUAGCAGUGAAAUGCGUAGAUAUCGAGAGGAACACCUGCGGCGAAGGCGGGUUGCUGGGCCGACACUGACGCUGACAGCGCGAAAGCUAGGGGAGCGAACGGG
rnacentral:rRNA from 1 species